rnacentral:lncRNA from 1 species
GUGGAACUCUCAGGUCACAGAGAUUCAGGGUGGUCAGAGGCGGUUUGAUGUUUUGGGGAGAAAGAACAGCCGUGAAGGAUUCUGUGAUGCAGGAGAAGGUGGGAGGCCUCAGGACAGAAUCAGCAGGUCACCAUGCUUUCCUGCGUCAUCCACCUGUGGGCCUCUAAUGUGUUUCUAUGAAGUUUGCAUUAAAGUUUCAGCCACUAUUUUUCAGAAACAUGGUCAACCUCUCCUUCCCUCCUCUAUCUGCUGAUAGAGUUCUACAGAAAACAAGGGAAUGACUUGAGGAGGUGAGGGGGAUUCUGAAGGUUGUUGGUGGAUUCCUAGAAUGUAGCCCGCAGAACUGUGCCUGGAACGAUACCGGAUCACUGCAAAAGUACAGCGAACAGGGUCGCUUUGAAUAUUAAAGGAGGACUUUUUCAAAGUGUAUAGAGAGCAGUCAAAAGAUCGCCACAGUUGCUCUGUGUUUUCGUGAGCCAGCUUUCUCGGAAGGACUAAGCCAGUGGAUCACAAACAUCCUGGAGAGCAGUGACUCUGUGAUUCCAUCACAAGAAUAUGAAGGACUGAGAAGAUCUCCAGCUCUGCCCAUUGCACCUUCCCAUUGAGAAGCAGCAUGGCACCCUGGUGGCAGGGGCUGAUACUCAGCCGGGCCAGGGUGCUCUCCUGUUAACCAUAACCAAGCUCACAGGACAUGGGAUGAGCCCACUGUGUGACACAGGGAGCGGGACACAGUCUGUUAAGUCUUGCACAGCCAUGCUCUGCCACGCAGGCAGGCCUUUCCUUGGCCUCCCUCUCCCUGUUCGUGCUCAUGUGAACAUCCACCUACGUGGAUAGACUGGGCUUUGGUUCAUUAUUGCUCUGUGAAUUCCUCGAACUUCCGCAUCUGCCCAACCUCCCCCACCCCAUUGUUUUCAUUGUGUUUCACCAAAUGGAAAUUCUAGAGUAAGCAUGUGAGUCCUCUCCCAAACUUGUUCACUGUUGAGAGUGCUAAAAUGCUAACCCCAGAUGCUAACUGAGGGGUAGGGUUACCUUAUCUUUAGAGCACUGCGAAUUGUAUGUUAAGUGGAACUUAAUGAAAAAAUAGUUAAUUGACCAACAUGAAUAUCCCCUGAACAGAAUCUCCCCUGAACAGAAUCCUACAAUGAAACUAAGGGAGAUAAAUAAAGCUGUUUACCUGAAAGCUCUCUCUAAUCAAGAUCCUUUGAAAUUUAUAAAACAUGGUCAAUAUUUGCACUGGACUUUGUAAAAAUAAAGCUUGAUAAGAGAAGAGUUUGAAGUGAAAUGCUGCCACUUUCUAUGCAAUAUUUGAUUUAAAUUUAAUUCCUAGAAACCUCAGAUGAAUGUGGUUCAUGUAUCAAAGCACUCAGCAUUAUUUAUCGCGGCCUUAAAUACACAGUGAGCUUACAUGUGAAUGAAUACAUAUAUUAUGUAUCUCUCUCUAUAUAUAUACUAUAUAGAUAAUAU